rnacentral:rRNA from 1 species
UGCUUAACACAUGCAAGUCGAACGUGAAAGUUUCUUCGGAAAUGAGUAAAGUGGCGAACGGGUGAGUAACGCGUGAGAAUCUGCCCUUUAGUGAAGGAUACCAUCGAGAAAUCGAUGUUAAUACUGCAUAUCUUUGCAAAAAGAAAGGUGGCCUAUAAGCUGCCGCUAAAGGAUGAGCUUGCGUGCUAUUAGCUAGUUGGUGGGGUAAUGGCCUACCAAGGCGAUGAUGGCUAGCCGGCCUGAGAGGGUGUACGGCCACAUUGGAACUGAGAAACGGUCCAGACUCCUACGGGAGGCAGCAGUGAGGAAUAUUGCACAAUGGGCGAAAGCCUGAUGCAGCGACGCCGCGUGGAGGAUGAAGGUCUUCGGAUUGUAAACUCC